rnacentral:lncRNA from 1 species
GCCACCUUUGAUUGCAAAAUAGUUUCAAAUCAUAAGAUAUUCACUUGAAAGUUAAUUUCAACUAAGGCCUCUAAUGAACAUUAUUUUCUGUUCUGUAGGACUAUAAGACCUACUUGGACUUUGUCCUUGCAUUAGAAAACAGAAAGGAACCUGCAGCUCUACAAUAUAUUUUCAAACUGCUUGAUAUUGAGAACAAAGGAUAUCUGAAUGUCUUUUCACUUAAUUAUUUCUUUAGGGCCAUACAGGAACUAAUGAAAAUCCAUGGACAAGAUCCUGUUUCAUUUCAAGAUGUCAAGGAUGAAAUCUUUGACAUGGUAAAACCAAAGGAUCCUUUGAAAAUCUCUCUUCAGGAUUUAAUCAACAGUAAUCAAGGAGACACAGUAACCACCAUUCUAAUCGAUUUGAAUGGCUUCUGGACUUACGAGAACAGAGAGGCUCUUGUUGCAAAUGACAGUGAAAACUCUGCAGACCUUGAUGAUACAUGAUCUCUGAAAGACUAGACUGUCUUAUAUUAAGAGAUACUUGAAUGCUGCAUGUAAAGCCUUUAAAGCAAAAUCCUCAGAAAUGGUCUAAAUAAAACACUUGAUAUGCCUAGAGAACACAGCAAAUGUUUUGGUUACUGGAAUUUUGGUUGCAAUAGUUUAGAAGCAAUAGGACCAAAUAUUGCUUGU